AGUGAGCGUUGGCGGUAGGCCUAACACAUGCAAGUCGAACGGCAGCACAGUAAGAGCUUGCUCUUACGGGUGGCGAGUGGCGGACGGGUGAGGAAUACAUCGGAAUCUACUUUUUCGUGGGGGAUAACGUAGGGAAACUUACGCUAAUACCGCAUACGACCUACGGGUGAAAGCAGGGGAUCUUCGGACCUUGCGCGAUUGAAUGAGCCGAUGUCGGAUUAGCUAGUUGGCGGGGUAAAGGCCCACCAAGGCGACGAUCCGUAGCUGGUCUGAGAGGAUGAUCAGCCACACUGGAACUGAGACACGGUCCAGACUCCUACGGGAGGCAGCAGUGGGGAAUAUUGGACAAUGGGCGCAAGCCUGAUCCAGCCAUACCGCGUGGGUGAAGAAGGCCUUCGGGUUGUAAAGCCCUUUUGCUGGGAAAGAAAAGCAGCAGGUUAAUACCCCGCUGUUCUGACGGUACCCAAAGAAUAAGCACCGGCUAACUUCGUG
rnacentral:rRNA from 1 species